UUUUCUAAUAUGCAGCUGCAUGGAGUACAUGAACACAGGACAAGUCAGAGAUAUUUGUUUUUAAAAUGAGCUCUUGAGUCGGUGUUUUGUGCGGAGCUGCUACGUUUUUUGAUGAGGUGUUGAAUCCUGGGAAGUUUUGUCGUUUCUCUUCAGGCAUUUCUGAAAUGCACUGCAACAUGAGUCCAGAGAGGAAGAAGCUCUUGAACAUUGUGAUCCUUGGCUUCAGCUUCAUGUUCAUGUUCACCGCUUUCCAGACGUGUGGAAAUAUAGAG